rnacentral:rRNA from 1 species
CACGUAGGGGGCAAGCGUUGUCCGGAUUUAUUGGGCGUAAAGAGCUCGUAGGCGGUUCGGUAAGUCAGGUGUGAAACCUCCAGGCUCAACCUGGAGACGCCACCUGAUACUGCUGUGACUCGAGUCCGGUAGGGGAGCGUGGAAUUCCUGGUGUAGCGGUGAAAUGCGUAGAGAUCGGGAGGAACAUCAGUUGCGAAGGCGGCUCUCUGGACCAGCACUGACACUGAGGCACGAAAGCGUGGGGAGCAAACAGG